AUAGGACUCUGCUUUAUUUACUAUGCCAAACGUAGCACAUAGGCACACACAGACACAGUAAUAAUCUAGCCAACAUGCAUGGAAGAGCGCAAAGUAGGGCUUUGUUUUAUUUACGCAGUAAAUAUAUAUGCAUUAAGGUCAUCCAUGCAAUUUAGUUUAAGUACUUUUAAUUCGGAAAAAGUUAUCAAGUUUUUCCAGGGUCUGCUUCGCAAUGUCUGCCAUAUCUGCAUUAAGUUUAGAAGCAGAUGUUUGAUGAUCUGGGGAAUACCUGUAGGUCCAGGUCCAUGACAUGCGUUGCAUAAUUGGGUAAGAUAUUAUAGCCUUGAAGUCAUGGACAUGAUAUUUUGAGGGGAUAUCACCACCAGUUACCCUGUAAAUAAAUACUUCCUCAGUGUUUUCAGUGAUCACCUCAGUCGACGAUUUGAUAUUCGGAGAACUUGGGCCGUACGUGACUUGGCGUUCCUCUGAGUUUUUGGGAUUUGGUGUGAUGGAUGUAUAUAGGUCAGGAAUGGCAACAGGAAACAUUAUUGUGGAGGUUCGAAUUGCACUCCAGAGCACAUCUGGUUGACUUUUGAUCAUAACCGUAACUUCACCUUUGCCUUCAGUUUCACUUGCCAUUUCCAUUUUCCUCGUAACUCCACCAGCGCUUGCAAUUUCACAAGCCAUUUCCAGAGAAACAAAGUAAAUUACUUGGAGGAUCGAUAUGCAUCUGGAGCUAACACAAG
rnacentral:misc_RNA from 1 species